rnacentral:rRNA from 1 species
UACGUAGGGUGCAAGCGUUAAUCGGAAUUACUGGGCGUAAAGCGUGCGCAGGCGGUUAUGCAAGACAGAUGUGAAAUCCCCGGGCUCAACCUGGGAACUGCAUUUGUGACUGCAUGGCUAGAGUACGGUAGAGGGGGAUGGAAUUCCGCGUGUAGCAGUGAAAUGCGUAGAUAUGCGGAGGAACACCGAUGGCGAAGGCAAUCCCCCUGG